GGUCCCUGAGAUCUGCAGCUGUUCUUGCCCAGCUGGAGUGGGGUUCUUCUCAUCUGGCAGGCACUGUCCUCCCUGAGAGCCUCAGUAUGUGUGAACCGCACUUUGAAACCCAUGCUUCUGACAAGCCUGAUGGUCUGGUGCCACCCAACCCUGACCAUGCCUCAUUGGUGGAGACCAAUGAGCUUGGCAACCCAGGCCCACCUGUGCCUGGGAUCCCAGUUGCCCCUUGGCCUCCUCUGCCAGAGGGUAACAUCCCUGAAGAACCUCACAGACAUUGUCCUCAGGAUGAAUAGACCCCUGGACACAUUGCAUCCUUCCCAGGACUGCAUCCACCCCCUCAGGCCUAUCCAGCCUUUCCAGCACUCCUCACUCCCAACACCACCAGCACCCCUCAUCCUCAACAUGGACAUGCCCAGUGCCCAAUGACCUGCACCACUGGGAUGGAGCCUGGAGGCUGAGAAGGGGACAGUGUGCCUCGAGGUGUCAGCCCUGGUGCUCAUCAGAUCAGAACUGAGCUCCUCGGAGGUUGGGAUGGCACUGGACUAGGGUCUAUUCCCACACACUGAAUGUCAGUUUACCUGUCCAUCUGUCUCGAGACAUUGGUAGACCUGUCUGUCAGUCCUAUCUGUUGAUUGAAUACAUUUGUCCAUCCAUCCUUCUCUCCCACCAGUGUUUUCCCCCCUCUCCCUCUGGCAGGACUGGUGGCUGUUCACACAUGCCCCAUAUGUUCCCUUGCUUUUGUGCUACUCUUCUAUCAUCUCCAUCCCUGCAGGCACUGUGGAUGGUGGUGACCUCUGAAGUCAUGAAUGCUUCCUCUGUAUAAAAAUAUCCAUGACUCCUAGCAGUGGGCUGCUGUGUCACAAUCAGGAGCAGGUUGGGUUUCAGUUGCCACUUAUGUUGUUGCUUGAAAAGAGUUUCAAUUAAAGGUUUGAACUGAUAA